rnacentral:rRNA from 1 species
UACGUAGGGUGCAAGCGUUAAUCGGAAUUACUGGGCGUAAAGCGUGCGCAGGCGGUUAUGUAAGACAGAUGUGAAAUCCCCGGGCUCAACCUGGGAACUGCAUUUGUGACUGCAUAGCUAGAGUACGGUAGAGGGGUAUGGAAUUCCGCGUGUAGCAGUGAAAUGCGUAGAUAUGCGGAGGAACACCGAUGGCGAAGGCAAUCCCCUGGACCUGUACUGACGCUCAUGCACGAAAGCGUGGGGAGCAAACAGG